rnacentral:rRNA from 1 species
UGACUGGGGCGGUCUCCUCCUAAAGAGUAACGGAGGAGCACGAAGGUUGGCUAAUCCUGGUCGGACAUCAGGAGGUUAGUGCAAUGGCAUAAGCCAGCUUGACUGCGAGCGUGACGGCGCGAGCAGGUGCGAAAGCAGGUCAUAGUGAUCCGGUGGUUCUGAAUGGAAGGGCCAUCGCUCAACGGAUAAAAGGUACUCCGGGGAUAACAGGCUGAUACCGCCCAAGAGUUCAUAUCGACGGCGGUGUUUGGCACCUCGAUGUCGGCUCAUCACAUCCUGGGGCUGAAGUAGGUCCCAAGGGUAUGGCUGUUCGCCAUUUAAAGUGGUACGCGAGCUGGGUUUAGAACGUCGUGAGACAGUUCGGUCCCUAUCUGCCGUGGGCGCUGGAGAACUGAGGGGGGCUGCUCCUAGUACGAGAGGACCGGAGUGGACGCAUCACUGGUGUUCGGGUUGUCAUGCCAAUGGCACUGCCCGGUAGCUAAAUGCGGAAGAGAUAAGUGCUGAAAGCAUCUAAGCACGAAACUUGCCCCGAGAUGAGUUCUCCCUGACUCCUUGAGAGUCCUGAAGGAACGUUGAAGACGACGACGUUGAUAGGCCGGGUGUGUAAGCGCAGCGAUGCGUUGAGCUAACCGGUACUAAUGAACCGUGAGG